rnacentral:rRNA from 1 species
UAAGUGUGUGAUGAAAUUUUGAGGCUCAACCUUAAACUGUUAUGCAAACUGUAAACUUGAGUAUAUGAGGGGUAGCUGGAAUUCAUAGUGUAGGAGUGAAAUCCGUAGAUAUUAGGAGGAACACCAAUGGCGAAGGCAGGCUUCUGGCCCAUUUCUGACGCUGAGGCACGAAAGCGUGGGGAGCGAACGGAUUAGAUACCCCGGUAGUCCACGCCGUAAACGAUGGAUACUA